AACGCGAAGAACCUUACCUGGACUUGACAUCCCCUGCAUAGCCAAGAAAUUGGCGAAGCCCUUCGGGGCAGGGAGACAGGUGGUGCAUGGUUGUCGUCGGCUCGUGUCGUGAGAUGUUAGGUUAAGUCCUGCAACGAGCGCAACCCUUAUCAUUAAUUGCUACCAUUAAGUUGAGCACUCUAGUGAGACUGCCCGGGUUAACCGGGAGGAAGGUGGGGAUGACGUCAAAUCAUCAUGCCCCUUAUGUCCAGGGCUACACACGUGCUACAAUGGUGAGUACAACAAGAUGCAAUCCCGCGAGGGGGAGCCAAACUUAUAAAACUCAUCUCAGUUCGGAUUGUAGGCUGAAACUCGCCUACAUGAAGUUGGAGUUGCUAGUAAUCGCGAAUCAGAAUGUCGCGGUGAAUACGUUCCCGGGUCUUGUACACACCG
rnacentral:rRNA from 1 species